UUGGCAGGGGCUCCAGCCCAGGAGCCAUUACAGCCUUUACCUAUAAGAGCUGAAGAGCCAGAAACCUAGACUAGAGGCCUGCUGUUAUUGGAACCCCAGGGAGUGUCUGGUGCUGAGGAGCCUGAAGACCCCAAUACCGUAUGGACCACUGCUGCAGGAGAGCCAGUAGGAAGCGACCCAGGGAGGGUAAGGGAGUGGUACCUCCCACCCUUAUGAGAAAACUGGAUGAAAUGUUCUGGGUAAGCCAAGUGUAAAAGGUCUCAGAGGGAAUCCCAACAGGGAGGAGCAUUGCUUCAUCCCAUAAUACUCUGGGUAACCCAUCACCACUUUACCACAUCUCACUAUAUAUGAGGUUGCUCUGAUGGGUUUCUGGCAGCUACUGAAGCACAGAACAUAGUGAGCACCACAACUGGGAUCCUAAACUAUUUAAAGGAAUUAAAAAAAUUAUUAAAGCUAAUGUUAAAGUA